UACGUAGGGCGCAAGCGUUGUCCGGAAUUAUUGGGCGUAAAGAGCUCGUAGGCGGUUUGUCGCGUCUGUCGUGAAAGCUUGGGGCUUAACCCCAAGUCUGCGGUGGAUACGGGCAGACUAGAGGCAGGUAGGGGAGAACGGAAUUCCUGGUGUAGCGGUGAAAUGCGCAGAUAUCAGGAGGAACACCGGUGGCGAAGGCGGAUCUCUGGGCCUGUUCUGACGCUGAGGCGCGAAAGCUAGGGGAGCGAACAGG
rnacentral:rRNA from 1 species